rnacentral:lncRNA from 1 species
AUUUACAUUUAAAAUGAUUGCCUCUUUUAAUCCUCGAAAUGAUCUUAAGUGAGAAGUAUCAUUAACCUCACUCUAUAGAUGUAGAAAUUGGGGGACAUCAACUAUCUUGCCCAAGUUGAUGCUGCUUGUAAAUGGUAGAUUUGUCCCUCCGGCUCAGGACUGCACAAUUCCAAACCUGAGGCUCUUCACACCUCGCCUGCCAUCUGAGCCACGACCGUGUCCCGCAUGAUACUGGCACAUGGGCACAGCACCAUAGCUGGCACCUGAUAACCCACCGUGUGAAGAGGCUCCUUUUUCCAUCCUUUUUCCUAGGGGUGGACUGAAAGAGAAAAGAUCAUUUUCAGAUGAGACAGCACAAUAAACAAGCAAAAACAGGCUCACGACUUCCUAGAAGCUCCUAGGCGUCUAGACAUAGUGGUUCUCAAUCCUGCAAAGAGACAGAGG